CAAGAAAUUGGAAUACUAGAAGUCUUAAUUGCUUAAAAAAUUAUUUUUUUCAAAUCCAAGGAUUUGAAAAUUUUCAUUUAAUUAUAGUAGUUAAUAUAGUUCUUAUAUUUAUUUACAUCAAGUGAAAUUUGUUUGCUAAAUUAGAGAAUGAAAAUAGUGCUAGUUUAGAAUACCUUAAUCGAACUUCAACUUGAUGCUCAAUUUUGGUGUGACGGCCCGGUCUUCUCCUAGGACAUACCCUAGAAGUUAGCGGAUCGUCUGUUUGGCUCUCACCAGGAUUUACUCACUCACAUUAACUUCAAAGAUAACAUUUUAAUAAACCAAAAUCAACCGUUCAGAUUUAUUACAAUACCUAGUUUAAUACAAAAGCUUCAACUGUAAUAACAUACUAAAGGAUUCACAAACACAAAAGGUCUUCACGCUAACUCCCUAAGAUCUCUCGUUCGAUUCCCGACCAUCAACUCUUGUAAGGAAAACAAAACUAAACGGUUGAACUAAAGCUUAGUGAGGUUUGUCGAGCAAGUAACAUUUAAUAAACGCUUAAAUCAAUACAAUCAAGCAAGUAGAGCACAUUUCACUGUACAAUCACUUUCAUUGAGUAAUUGGGGAAACACUUCACCAAACAAUCACUUUUAAAAGGAUACGGUGCUCGCAUUAGAGCCACUUAAAUGUCAUUGAGCAUUCAUUUCAGUGUCAAGAGACACUCAUUUCAUUGUCAUUGCACAUUCAUUUCAAUAUCAUUGCACAUUCCGCCAAUUCACCUCCUUAUGUCCUUCAAAACAAUAAACAAUCCCCUACAUUCAAUAAUCAGUUUAAUAAUCUCCCAACCUCAUGGUAAUACUUGAGCAUACCGAAGCAUUUACCCAAAGCUACCGUCCUAUGAAACCAAACCCUUUGCUAGUUCGAAUAGUCCGUUGAACAGUGGAUUUUGGGGCCCAGUUCAGCCGAUACGGCGAGACACACAUACGGCUUACAUUCAUGUACACUUACAGUAAUAUUCAGUCAAUUAUCGACCUUCAAACUCAACUAAGUUGAGUGCGAUAAAGUACACCCUCGACUUAGAAGGCGAGGGACAAUUGAGAUACACUUCACAAGGAAUCAUUUAGUAAUAAUUCAUAAUAAGCACGUUCGUCACAUAAUUUCACUUAGAUACACAUAAACAGUUAAACACAUAAAUUCGGAAAACACUCACCUAAUUAUUCAAAUAAUUUACUCUCGAGCCUCGGGUCUGUUUCCUGGCUCGCAGCUACUUCCUGAGACAAGUUCAUAAUUUCGAAGUAAAUAUAUAAUUUGUAGAUAUUCACCUAUUAUUCGUUAUCCUAUUAUUUAAAUUGUUAAAAUCAAGUUUGACCUUAAGUAUAAAAUAUAUUCAAUAGUUAUUCCAUAUUUCAUUUCGAGACUUAUUGAUUUUAUCAUUUUAAACCAAGAAUUAUACAUAGAAUAUACAAUUUAUAUAUUAUCACUUAUCACUUGUUAUUUUAUGAUUUAAACUACUAAAGUCAAGUUUGGCUUAUAAAACAACGUAUAACAUAUUUUAUAUUUAUUUUACAUUUUAUUUCACAAUUUAAUAACUUCAUUAUUUCAAACCAAGAAUUAUACAUUUUUCCCAAGUUUAUAUCUUUAUAUAUUAUUUGAACCAGGAAUAUCUCUUUCUCAAUCCAAUAUUCAUUAAUUGCGACUUAUAGAUACUCCAUUUGUUCCCUUUUAAAUCAACUAAACUCUAAGUUAUUUGUAAAUUGGAUUUCGUUCCAUUACACUCGCCUCUCAAAUUUUAUGGUCUUUAAAAUAUUUGUUAAGACAAUAUUAAGUGAUUAGAAGCCAAUUUAGGUACAUAACUAUCAUGAGUUUUCCGCUCAUUUGCUUUAGUUUAACUCUACUCGUGGAACUAUAUAUGGCCAUUAAAUCUCGGAACAACCGUAGCUAUCAUUUAUGAAAGUUUACAAGGUUGGAAAUUAGAAGAAAUGUUGGUUAAAAGUUGAUUCCUCACGGCUAGCAUUAUAGCAAAAUGCAUCCGGAAAAAUAAAAGAAGGCAAUGAGGAACAAUGAGGAUGGCAAAGCUGCCAUCCUCUGGUGUUUUGGUCAUAACUGGAGCUGCGCUUAUUGGAUUCAGGCAAAUUUUAUAGCGUUUCGAAACUAAGACAUAGACCUACAUUUCCUGUGAAGACAUUGACAUCCAGUUCUCGUAUUUUCAAGGUAAAAAAUGGCCGGUCAGAAGCACCUUCUGCUUCAUUCUCUCGGCCAUAAGGUGAUUCAGCACACAAGUUCACAGCUUCCUCUCCCUUUGCUUCAAUGUAACCUUACUUAUGAUGCUUAACGUAGCUACUAAACCACAGGGCAACCUUAGUUAUCACCUGUAGAAGUUCACAAAUUCAGACAUUAGAAGAAAGCUGCUUCAAAAGCUGAUUUCCUUCCCUUUAGUGUCAUAACAGAUUGUAUCAGCUUCCCUUAAUCGAAUGUUAGUUAAGCUUCCUUAGGUUUUUCUGAUUUCCAAGACACCUAUCUGUUAAGGUAGAGAAUUAACAUGUCUUCCAUGUAUUCGUUAGUGAAGAUUCCAGAAUCAGUAACAUCAGGUCAUGCAACCUGUUUAAUUCCUUCGGCCAAGCACCUACAGUCAGUCGAGUUCAUCAGGUCUACUAUAUUCACUUUAGUUUCUGCUUGUUUCUAUCUCAUUUGUUAAAGUCUAAGGACUUUAUGACAUGCUACAGCUCACUACGCAGGUUUAGCAGCUAAGGGUCGCAGGGAAGACCUAACACUUCCUACCAGUUCUGCUCAGUCGAAGCCACAGAUUCAGCAGGUAGUGGCUUAGCAGCUGAGCUUUCCCUUUUGUUUCUCUUCAGUUUUGUACUCCAGCUAAUCGUGUAGAGUGUAUUAAUCUACUAUCAAUUUAUCCUAAAUAAAACAUGGUAGAUUAUGAUCAGAACUCAGAAGAAUAGCUGAACUAAAUCUCGUGCUUGAGCUCAGCAGCAGAAUCUGAUGAAUAACAGCAUGCAUCAUAUUUCCCUCGAGUUCCAUUUUCUCAUUUCAUGCUCACCUUCUCAUGCGUGAAACCAUCAAGAUGCCAUGCACACUUUAUAUAUUAGCACAGGAAGUUGUAGAGCUAUUAUUCAUGAAAAAUCAACCAAAACUAUUCCUUUCCUUUUUCUGAUGAAACUGACCGUAGUCCGUAGAGUACACUUAGUUAUUCCAGCUCACGGAUCCUACCUUUACAAGUUCUAUGGCUAACAUUACAUAAUAUCAGAAAUCAGAGCCAACCAUCUCCAUGUAUUUUCUAUCAGAAUUCAGUUUAUGGUUCUUACAGCCUGCAUCAGUCAAUCAUCAACCAUUUCUCACGGUUCAGUCCGGAAUUAGUUGAGCUUUAAAUCAGAAAUUUCCCUCAGUUGAAGCGCAACUUACAGGUUAAACAUAUACUCAGUAAAUAUGUGUUAGUCAUGGAGCUUACCUCUUGUCUUAAGUUCUAAAAAUUGCAGACGAAACCAGCUGCUAUUCCAACUUCUCCUGCUUCAGUUCCCAAACUACACCAGACUCCUCUUCGUUCUCACUCUCGCAGCCUUUCUCUCUCUUUUCUCACUCACUCGAAUCUGCUUUUGAAAGAAAGCGAGAAAGAAGACAGCUUUGUUUGUUUUUGCUCUCAGUCCGCCAGUUUUCAUUUCUUUAAGCUACUC
rnacentral:lncRNA from 1 species